AACGUAGGAGACAAACGUUAUCCGGAGUUACUGGGCGUAAAGGGCGUGUAGGCGGUUAGUUAAGUCUGGCGUGAAAGCUCUCGGCUAAACCGGGAGAGGUCGUUGGAUACUGGCUGACUAGAGGACGGUAGAGGCGUGUGGAAUUCCGGGUGUAGUGGUGAAAUGCGUAGAGAUCCGGAGGAACACCAGUGGCGAAGGCGACACGCUGGGCCGUACCUGACGCUGAGACGCGAAAGCGUGGGGAGCGAACCGG
rnacentral:rRNA from 1 species